GCAGCAGCCGCGGUAAUACGAAGGGUGCAAGCGUUAAUCGGAAUUACUGGGCGUAAAGCGUGCGUAGGCGGUGAGUUAAGUCUGCUGUGAAAUCCCCGGGCUCAACCUGGGAAUGGCAGUGGAUACUGGCUCGCUAGAGUGUGUCAGAGGAUGGUGGAAUUCCCGGUGUAGCGGUGAAAUGCGUAGAGAUCGGGAGGAACAUCAGUGGCGAAGGCGGCCAUCUGGGACAACACUGACGCUGAGGCACGAAAGCGUGGGGAGCAAACAGGAUUAGAUACCCCAGUAGUCCCUGUCUCUUAUAC
rnacentral:rRNA from 1 species